GAUGAACGCUGGCGGCGUGCCUAAUACAUGCAAGUCGAGCGAACAGACGAGGAGCUUGCUCCUCUGACGUUAGCGGCGGACGGGUGAGUAACACGUGGAUAACCUACCUAUAAGACUGGGAUAACUUCGGGAAACCGGAGCUAAUACCGGAUAAUAUAUUGAACCGCAUGGUUCAAUAGUGAAAGACGGUUUUGCUGUCACUUAUAGAUGGAUCCGCGCCGCAUUAGCUAGUUGGUAAGGUAACGGCUUACCAGGGCAACGAUGCGUAGCCGACCUGAGAGGGUGAUCGGCCGCACUGGAACUGAGACACGGUCCAGACUCCUACGGGAGGCAGCAGUAGGGAAUCUUCCGCAAUGGGCGAAAGCCUGACGGAGCAACGCCGCGUGAGUGAUGAAGGUCUUCGGAUCGUAAAACUCUGUUAUUAGGGAAGAACAAAUGUGUAAGUAACUAUGCACGUCUUGACGGUACCUAAUCAGAAAGCCACGGCUAACUACGUG
rnacentral:rRNA from 1 species